UCGGCCUAGUCGAAAUUCGUCAGUCAUCAGUGUAUCCAGGAGACGAUGUCUAUAUUGUGGCUCAACAAGCCACGCAAGUUUAUUAUCUCUCAUAUCCGUGCAAAACCGACGAUCGUCUUAUGGGUUGGGACGUUGUGUACAAGGUAUCACCACACGGUAAAGUACCUAUUCCAAAUAAUGAGGAUUACAAUAUAGACCCAAACACAUAUGACGGGGAGUUCUUUCAAGAAGAUGGGCUUGAAGGGCAUUUUGAGAUAGACUUAACCGGAGUGAUCGAAAUGGAAGUACACGAUGAUGAAAUGGUUGAUAACGAGGACGCUGGUGAGGAGGUUCAUAAUGCGAAGGACCUAGAAUUACUUGAGCGAUUACAAUUAGGCGAUGAUAAUGAGGAUGAAAUUCCACCUUUAGAGCACGGGCUUGAACUUCUCGACUUGCGUGAUAGUGAUGAUGAGACAUAUGAUCCAGCUAAUCCCGAUGAAGAUGAUUAUUUCUAAUACAUGUGAUUGAAGAAAGAUGCCGGGCGGCGGACUUCAACGAUCGGUCGCCUCAAUGUACAGAAGAAUGAUGCCACACUCGGAUGCUGGUGAGGGCUCCAAUAGGGGUUCCGAGUUGGGGCGAGGCAAGGGUCGAGGGAAGGGUGGACCCAAGAGGGGGGAGGGAAGGGUGGAGGACUUGUGAGGGCUCCCAUAAACUUGUUUAUUUCAAUAUUUAUGGACUUGUGAACUUCUAGAUAUGUAUUUGUGAACUUUUGGACUUUGCAUUGGACUUCUGGAUGUGUUUGAAGUU